CCCUUAGAUGUUCUGGGCCGCACGCGUGCUACACUGAGUAAUUCAAUGGGUAAGGGAACGCUAGAGCAUUACCUAAUCUUGAAAUUUGCUCGUGAUGGGGAUCGACGGUUGCAAUUUUCCGUCGUGAACGAGGAAUACCUUGUAGGCGCAUGUCAUCAUCAUGCGCCGAAUACGUCCCUGCCCUUUGUACACACCGCCCGUCGCUCCUACCGAUUGAGUGAUCCGGUGAGGCUCUGGGACCUGGACGGAAAGAGCGUUUCGCUUGUUCUGUUUGGGAAACUUUGUCGAACCUUAUCAUUUAGAGGAAGGAGAAGUCGUAACA
rnacentral:rRNA from 1 species